rnacentral:rRNA from 1 species
UAGGGAAUCUUCGGCAAUGGACGGAAGUCUGACCGAGCAACGCCGCGUGAGUGAAGAAGGUUUUCGGAUCGUAAAGCUCUGUUGUAAGAGAAGAACAGGUGUGAGAGUGGAAAGUUCACACUGUGACGGUAUCUUACCAGAAAGGGACGGCUAACUACGUGCCAGCAGCCGCGGUAAUACGUAGGUCCCGAGCGUUGUCCGGAUUUAUUGGGCGUAAAGCGAGCGCAGGCGGUUAGAUAAGUCUGAAGUUAAAGGCUGUGGCUUAACCAUAGUACGCUUUGGAAACUGUUUAACUUGAGUGCAAGAGGGGAGAGUGGAAUUCCAUGUGUAGCGGUGAAAUGCGUAGAUAUAUGGAGGAACACCGGUGGCGAAAGCGGCUCUCUGGCUUGUAACUGACGCUGAGGCUCGAAAGCGUGGGGAGCAAACAGGAUUAGAUACCCUGGUAGUCCACGCCGUAAACGAUGAGUGCUAGGUGUUAGACCCUUUCCGGGGUUUAGUGCCGUAGCUAACGCAUUAAGCACUCCGCCUGGGGAGUACGACCGCAAGGUUG